UCUCAGGGGACGGGCCUGACCAGGAGUCAGCUUCCAGUGUCCCUGAAAAGAUGAGGAACCAACAGAGGCCUUCCCUUCACGGUGGCUGUUUAUGCAAGUCCCUCAUCAUGACAGAGAUGAAGAAAGAGCCCCAGAGACAGGGGCGUGAUCUGUCCAAGGUCACUGAGCUCCACUUACAUAAGCAUUUCAUUUCAAAGCUGCCUAAAAUAAUUGCUAAAGCAAAUAGCCCUCGCCUUCCGAGGGCCAGCCAAGACUGUAGCCCAGCGAGUUCACAGGAGGUCUGAUCGAUGAGGCUGGGCACGCUUUGAAGGCCUUUGCCACCCUCCACUGUGGCUGCUGUCAUCCCAGCUCUGCCUGCCCCUCGGGCGGAACCAGGUUCCUUGACCCGACUCUGAGAAAUCGCUCCCCUCCCAGUCAGGCUCUGGGACAGCUCUGCUGCGUGACGUCCCCCGGGCCAGGUUCCCCUCCGCAGAGAGAAGCCCCCACAGGACACCCCCCUACGGCUCCUCCUCCUGGCUGUCUGCAUUUCCCAUUGCCAGAGGCUUUUUCGAGACCCCGAGACCAUGGAUUUACGAACCCCCCACCAACCUGCUUCUGAUGGGGAUUCUGAACCUCCCACUGGGGACACUUCCUCUGACUGAUGAGGGGGUGACCCAGCUCAUUCCGGCCACCUUCUCGCUGUCGGGUCUCCCAAAACUCUGAGCUGCCUCUUCCACCUUGUCCUGAGAUCUUAAGUGGCAUUUCAUGGCUUCUCUUGGCGACAAGAGGGACGAUUUCUCAGUAGAGUCAGAUACUUGGGAUGUUUGUCUGA
rnacentral:lncRNA from 1 species